CACAAACCAUCACCCACCUGAGUGCACUUUCUGACGGUGCACAGGUUUACCUCACACAGCCUAGUCAGGAAAGAGCAUCUUUUGAGGAGGGUGUGACCUACUUUUUAAAAGCUUACACACUCUCCCCCAGGUAUGAGCAACAGUGAAUAUUCUUGUAUCCAAAAGCCAUCGUUCACAGGACCACUCGUUUUUCACUCAUGAGGGAACAGCAACGGCUGGCCAGAGAAGCGCUUGUUCCCCAUCCUGUAUGACUACUGCUGAAGAACAGGACCUCUUUUCCAGGGGGGGGUACCUGUCAGUGCAAGGACUAAUCAAAAAUGUGAGUUCAUUGGUCUUGCCAAACACUGUAUAUUAUUGUUAACUUUGUAAUAAUAUAGUUUCAUUUUAAGUAAACUUUUUAUAAUACAUGCAUAAUAAAUGAAACGGCAUACUUUGAUCAUAAUUGUAAUUUCCCAAAUACGUUUCUGUUUGGUGUGGUCUUGGCUGAUUUAAAUUGAUCUUCAACUGAAAAAUAGUAUUUCUUGAACCUGUGGCUUAAUGUGAAAUCAGACAUACUGGCCAUCAUAAUGACCUUUAGUGUAUGUAGUUGCGUGUUCCCAGGAUGACCUGUUUGGGACGCUGAAGUGCCUAUCCUUGACUUCAGACUGAAAUGUGGCCUCAAAGUGCUCGAGGUCUUUUUCUGGCAAGAACGGGCAAUGACAGAACUCCACCUCAAUGAAGAUUAGCCACCUCAAAGCCAGUAUUAGGGCGGAUGCAAGCUAAACUCAACAUCCUACGCCACUGUCGAGGUACGUUAUAUGUUCAUUCUGCCCCCUCCCAAAAACGAAUCUAAAACAACAUUUUGGGGCAGAGGCAGGGUCUUUCUAGGGGCCCAGACCUGUCCCUUGUGUAAAUGCUUUUUAAAGCGAUUUAAGAGGAACAUAAAAGAUUAUGGGCACCAGGAGCUCUCGCAUAAGAAGAGGCACAAGACCCCCAGAAGGGUGGAGCUGAGGGUCACCAUGUAGUGGCUGUGGGACCCUCAAGAAGGAACGGCACGAGCGUGUGGAAAAGCCAGAGGAGGCCGCCCACUCUGCCAUCCCUUAAGCCACACCCUCCGCAUCUCCUGACCCUCCCCAGGACAUCUUCUUUGCCAUGUCCCCCAGACUCUUUUCUCCGGACACCACUGACUCUCUUGAGUCGUUGAACAACGGUGGAGGAAUGGGUUUUUUGGAGAUGCUGGGUAAAUCUUAAAGGAGUAGUUGACCCUGAAAUUAAAAUUCUUAAAGUCACCAUGAAAUCAAGCAGGAAAAUUCUAACAGUUUUACAAUGUUGCAGUGAUUAUUAUAAAUGAUGUAUGCGUGCACACCAUUAUUUUUUUAUUCAUUUGCACUUGUAAUCUUUACUCAAAAACAUUAAGCUCCUCUGCCCCUCUAACAACAACUCUUCACCACAUGACAUCAGCAACAAAAAAGAGGUAGAAUUAUACUGACUGUCCAAUGGCCAGGCAUCUUUAGCCCUCCCCUGCAGGCCCUAUUUACAACAAACCAAUCAAAAAGGGAAGGGCAAAAUAAAGCCCCGCCUUACAUUUUUUCUAAUUUCGGUUGCACAUUUAUGGAAUGAUCUGCCCGCUGCUACAAGAUCAGCAGAUUCUGUAGCCAUCUUUAAAGGUGCGGUGACGUGGUGUUGUUUAUUGUUUUAUACUGUUGUACAAGGAGACCAGUGUUCGAAUUGUGUCAAGGCUCUUGGGGGGUCCCCUGAUCACUGCCUGGUUCACUUUAUCCCAGCCUACAGGCAGAAACUAAAAGCUGCCAAACCUAUGGUAAGGACUGUUAAAAGAUGGACCAACGAAACAGAGUGGGCCUUACAAGCCUGUUUCGAGUGCACCGAUUGGAGUGUUUUUGAAGCUGCUCCCAGCAAUCUGGACGAGCUCACAGAGACUGUAACAUCAUACAUCAGUUUCUGUGAGGAUUUGUGCAUUCCUACCAGGACUUCCUUAAAAUACAACAAUGAUAAACCAUGGUUCUCAGCAAAACUCAGACAGAUUCGCCAAGCCAAGGAGGAUGCCUACAGAAAAGGGGACAAAGUCUUGUACAAGCAGGCUAGGAACACAUUGACAAAGGAGAUCAGAGUGGCUAAGAGAAACUACUCUAAAAAGUUGGAAAACCGGUU